rnacentral:rRNA from 1 species
UACGUAGGUGGCAAGCGUUGUCCGGAUUUACUGGGCGUAAAGGAUGCGUAGGCGGACAUUUAAGUCAGAUGUGAAAUACCCGAGCUUAACUUGGGUGCUGCAUUUGAAACUGGGUGUCUAGAGUGCAGGAGAGGUAAGUGGAAUUCCUAGUGUAGCGGUGAAAUGCGUAGAGAUUAGGAAGAACACCAGUGGCGAAGGCGACUUACCGGGACUGUAACUGACGCUGAGGCAUGAAAGCGUGGGGAGCAAACAGG